UGUAUAAUGGGUCAGCGACUUAUAUUCUGUAGCAAGGUUAACCGAAUAGGGGAGCCGAAGGGAAACCGAGUCUUAACUGGGCGUUAAGUUGCAGGGUAUAGACCCGAAACCCGGUGAUCUAGCCAUGGGCAGGUUGAAGGUUGGGUAACACUAACUGGAGGACCGAACCGACUAAUGUUGAAAAAUUAGCGGAUGACUUGUGGCUGGGGGUGAAAGGCCAAUCAAACCGGGAGAUAGCUGGUUCUCCCCGAAAGCUAUUUAGGUAGCGCCUCGUGAAUUCAUCUCCGGGGGUAGAGCACUGUUUCGGCAAGGGGGUCAUCCCGACUUACCAACCCGAUGCAAACUGCGAAUACCGGAGAAUGUUAUCACGGGAGACACACGGCGGGUGCUAACGUCCGUCGUGAAGAGGGAAACAACCCAGACCGCCAGCUAAGGUCCCAAAGUCAUGGUUAAGUGGGAAACGAUGUGGGAAGGCCCAGACAGCCAGGAUGUUGGCUUAGAAGCAGCCAUCAUUUAAAGAAAGCGUAAUAGCUCACUGGUCGAGUCGGCCUGCGCGGAAGAUGUAACGGGGCUAAACCAUGCACCGAAGCUGCGGCAGCGACGCUGAUGCGUUGUUGGGUAGGGGAGCGUUCUGUAAGCCUGCGAAGGUGUGCUGUGAGGCAUGCUGGAGGUAUCAGAAGUGCGAAUGCUGACAUAAGUAACGAUAAAGCGGGUGAAAAGCCCGCUCGCCGGAAGACCAAGGGUUCCUGUCCAACGUUA
rnacentral:rRNA from 1 species